GGUCCUGUGGUGUAGUGGUUAUCACGUCUGCUUUACACGCAGAAGGUCCGCCGGUUCGAUCCCGGCCAGGACCU